rnacentral:rRNA from 1 species
UAUGAUCACUGGCCGCAUGGUCUGGUGGUGGAAAGAUUUUUUGGUUGGGGAUGGACUCGCGGCCUAUCAGCUUGUUGGUGAGGUAAUGGCUCACCAAGGCGACGACGGGUAGCCGGCCUGAGAGGGUGACCGGCCACACUGGGACUGAGACACGGCCCAGACUCCUACGGGAGGCAGCAGUGGGGAAUAUUGCACAAUGGGCGAAAGCCUGAUGCAGCAACGCCGCGUGAGGGAUGACGGCCUUCGGGUUGUAAACCUCUUUUAGUAGGGAAGAAGCGAGAGUGACGGUACCUGCAGAAAAAGCACCGGCUAACUACGUGCCAGCAGCCGCGGUAAUACGUAGGGUGCAAGCGUUGUCCGGAAUUAUUGGGCGUAAAGGGCUCGUAGGCGGUUCGUCGCGUCCGGUGUGAAAGUCCAUCGCUUAACGGUGGAUCCGCGCCGGGUACGGGCGGGCUUGAGUGCGGUAGGGGAGACUGGAAUUCCCGGUGUAACGGUGGAAUGUGUAGAUAUCGGGAAGAACACCAAUGGCGAAGGCAGGUCUCUGGGCCGUUACUGACGCUGAGGAGCGAAAGCGUGGGGAGCGAACAGGAUUAGAUACCCUGGUAGUCCACGCCGUAAACGGUGGAUGCUGGAUGUGGGGCCCGUUCCACGGGUUCCGUGUCGGAGCUAACGCGUUAAGCAUCCCGCCUGGGGAGUACGGCCGCAAGGCUAAAACUCAAAGAAAUUGACGGGGGCCCGCACAAGCGGCGGAGCAUGCGGAUUAAUUCGAUGCAACGCGAAGAACCUUACCUGGGCUUGACAUGUUCCCGACGACCGUAGAGAUACGGUUUCCCUUCGGGGCGGGUUCACAGGUGGUGCAUGGUCGUCGUCAGCUCGUGUCGUGAGAUGUUGGGUUAAGUCCCGCAACGAGCGCAACCCUCGCCCCGUGUUGCCAGCGGAUUAUGCCGGGAACUCACGGGGGACCGCCGGGGUUAACUCGGAGGAAGGUGGGGAUGACGUCAGAUCAUCAUGCCCCUUACGUCCAGGGCUUCACGCAUGCUACAAUGGCCGGUACAACGGGAUGCGACAGUGCGAGCUGGAGCGGAUCCCUGAAAACCGGUCUCAGUUCGGAUCGCAGUCUGCAACUCGACUGCGUGAAGGCGGAGUCGCUAGUAAUCGCGAAUCAGCAACGU